rnacentral:sRNA from 1 species
UAAGUAGCUCCAAUACUUACCUUUUUCUUCCAUCCACAGAGCAAGUACAGCAUAGGCAGUGGCAGUACAAGCUUCCUGCCAUUGUAUGCCAACAAAUAUUCCUCAACUCAAACCUGGAAGAUCUCUUCUAGGAGUCAGAGGACAGUUCAGUCUCCAUAGCCCAUUCAUUUUCAUCAUAG